UCUUAAUAAGUGAAGACCUGGUGGAAUUGUCCCUCCUGCAGGGUCAGAACAGAGCAGGAGCUGCGGGAGAUCAAGGUGUCUGCUGGUUCCAGAUUUUGUCAUGCCGAAAAGGCAAGUUUCGGACGAAGGAAAAGGCCACACGUGGACACAAGGUUCUCUGUUUAUCAUGAACGACCGAGAAGACGGGAGCAAGAAUGGUUCUGUGGGUUUGGAAAUCGAUGGUUCUGUUUGUGAAGAAGUAGGAAAAUUGCCUGUUACCCUAAGAAGUCUACGGGCCAUGGUCAGAGCUUUAGGCUCCUGAUUCCCCACUCGGGUUGAGGUCACCGCUCACCUCUGCAGGUGCAGGCAGGAGAGAGGCAGUGAGUGGGUACAACCGGGCUGUGAAUUUGCUGAGGGAGGCAUUAUAAUGACGGCUCACAAAUCCAGGCUGGGACCACAUCAAGGAUUAUGGCGGGAGUGGUGUUGAGAGCUGAGCUAGGUGCUUAAUUACCGAGGAGGGCAAUGUGUGUUCCCUCCCCUUCCCCCCAGACAGCAGGGACAGAGGCGUGAGCCAGCAUCACCCCCUCUUGACACAGAGCUGGUCCCUCAAAGUAAACCUCAGGGGUCAUGACUGAUGAUUGUAGGAAGUGAUGUGCUUGCUCUUCCUCAACGGGAAAGGGGGUCUGAGCCAAACCGUGGCUCCCAGCAACCACACUGUGACCAUAAGAACAGCCAGCUGCAAAACAAAGACAAGACUGAGAAGACAAGCCCGAGAGAACCACAGGGAAGCAGGACCAGGGACCAGAUCA
rnacentral:lncRNA from 1 species